AGUCAUGGCCUGGGCAGGUUGCGGGCCCACCUGUCUCCCACCUUGGCCUCCCCGCUACGGGUACCUGGACCUGGCCUUUGCCUUGAUGGGCACGGUGGCCUUCCUGCUGGACCUGGGCGCCGACCUGUGGGUGGCUGCCAGCUACCUGAAGGAGGGGCACUACUACUGGGGCGGACAAGUUCUGGUGCUCCUGGUUCUGUCCUCGGUGACGACGCAGGUCUUCAGCUGGUUCUGGUACCAGAGCGACCCCAAAGUGCUCAGGCAAGAAGUGCUCACAGGGCGGAUCCUGCUCAUCUUGCACAUCCUGCAGCUUGGCUACCUGUACAGAUGUCUCCAUGUCCUGAAGGUGGGCUUCUGCAUAUGCUGGAAGGAAGCCGUGGAAGAGACCAAGCGGGGCUAUGUUGUUUUCUUGUCACAUGACAUCAGCAUGUUGCGCCUCUUUGAGACCUUCUUGGAAAGUGCCCCUCAACUCACGCUGGUGCUCUACGUUAUCCUACACACAAGUAAAGCAGAGCUAUUUCAGGUACUUGGAAUUUGCACCUCUUUUCUGUGCAUUGCCUGGGCCCUCCUGGAUUAUCACCAGUCCCUGCGCAGUUUCCUACAGGACAAGCACAAGCUGGAUUUCCUGAGCUCUCUCCUCUAUUUCCUGUGGAACUUCCUGUUGGUGUGCCCCCGCAUCUUGUCCCUGGCCCUCUUCACUGUGCUUUUCCCGAGCUACAUUUAUGUUCACUUCCUGGGCGUUUGGCUGGCCAUGUUCCUGUGGGUUUCCUUGCAAGGCACCGACUUCAUGGAACACGCGGCCUCCGAAAGGCUUUACCGGGCGGUAGUGGCCAUCAUUCUGUAUUUUUGCUGGUUCAAUGUGGCCGAGGGGAAGUCGCUCCAUCGCUCAGUCAUUUACCACACAUUCAUUUUGCUGGACAGUGCUCUGCUCGCCGGUGCGUGGAUCUGGAACAACAUGCCCUUGGGCUGGGACUCGCACGAGGUGCAUGUCCUCAUCGUUGCCUUGCCUUGCUACAUGCUUGGCAUCCUCCUGAGAGUUGUUUACUACAGAUGCUUUCACCCCACCGUGCAGGCUGCAUCCCUGGGCAGCUAUGACGAAGUGGAUGCCAGAGAGCUGGGGGACGUUGGGACUGCUUCCCCCCCCCAGCUGGUUGUGGGAUGUGUCAACCCUCGAACAUACAGCCUGUUUCAGCACUCCUUUGCUGGCCCUGUACGGGACACGCAGCAGCACCAAGAAAACGGAACUCUUCAAGGAUGUGUAUCUUGGGUCUAUUCUUUGAAUAUGACCAAACCUAGACCAUGGGUGGGAAAUACAGUGCUCGCCAGAUGUUGGAUUGCAGUUCCCAUGAUCUCACACCAUUGGCUGUACCUGCUGAGGCUGGUGUGAACUGCCAUCUGGCAUCACCUGGAAAGCCAUUCCAGGAAGACAAAGGACCAGAUGUUCUAGAAGUGCAUCAUCAAAUCAGCCUUUGGACAUCUACUUAUUUUGGAUGGAUGACUCCCAGGACCUUGUGUGGUACUGUGUGUUUUCUCAUUUCCUCCAGCGUAUAAUUACAAGCAAAUCAACCUCUUGGAACACCCACAGAGGUGGUCCCUGAUUGGGUUACUCAAAGCCUACAAUGAGAGUUCAUUCCACUUAUUUAUUUAUAGGAAUUAUAUCCCGCCUUUUUUCUUUUUUAAAGAACUCAAGGCAGCUUAUACCAUUCUCCUGCUGCUCUCAAUCUUAUCCCCACAACAAUAAACCUGUGAGGUAGGAAGGGCACCAGAGCAGGAGGCCAGAAGUGGAGACAUGACGGAGUAGACCAUGGGGCUGUUCAGUUCAGCAUUCUCCUCCCAGUGUGGCCAACCAGGUGCCUGUGGGAUUCCCAGAGGACAUAAGUGCAGCAAGGAUACCCACAAGGACAUGAGUGUCCAUGUUCCUCAGCAGCUGGUGCACAUAGGCAGACUGCUUCUGAUAUUGGAGGUAGUAGCUAUAAACCAUGAGGGCUAGUAACUUUGUAUACCUUCCUCCAUGAAUUUCUCCAGUCCAUUUUUAGAGCUGUCCAAAUAAGCAGAAACAACUUUCUCUCACAGGGAAUUCCAUGCACUGUUACUUCUUUCUGUCCAGAAUCUCCCACAAUCAGCAUUAUGGAAUAAUCCUGAGUUCUAGUAUUACAGGAGAAGAAAUACGUAUCCUCUUCCACAUGUUCCACACCAAGCUUAACUGUGAAGAGACUUCCUGACUAGGAUCCAAAGUUGACGCCUCAAACUGCCCAGAAAAAGCACUGAGGAAAAUGAUGCUCCAAAUACUGCUGAAGCACAGAAACCAACAGGGGCAAAUGACUGUGCAUGACCUUGCAACAGGAAACAGUCCCUCUCCCAAGAAGAGGAAGUGGGGAUCCACAUGGAGGCAGAGGAAGAUGCUGUUCUCCUGUCCUCUGUGAACUCAUGUUUGAGGAUCAUGGUUUCCUGCAAAGUAGCCGUGAUCUCCCUGGAUGGGAGGAAUGGGGAGUUGGGGCUGAUGAGCUCCAGCUGGCCAUGAAGUGCCAUCAGGAAGAGGGAAGUGCAGGAACCUGGGUAGAUGGAUGGCAGGUUCACAGGACAGUUUCCUAUUACACAGAGCAUGAUGGUCAAGGAAUCUAUAGCUGUUUAAUGCCU